rnacentral:rRNA from 1 species
GACGAACGCUGGCGGCGUGCUUAACACAUGCAAGUCGAACGGUGAAGGGACCGGUUUUUGCUGGUUCUGGAUGAGUGGCGAACGGGUGAGUAACACGUGAGUAACCUGCCCCCUUCUUCUAGAUAACCGCAUGAAAGUGUGGCUAAUACGGGAUAUUCUGCGCCUGCUGCAUGGUGGGGGUGGGAAAGAUAUUGUUUCGGUGGGGGAUGGGCUCGCGGCCUAUCAGCUUGUUGGUGGGGUGAUGGCCUACCAAGGCGGUGACGGGUAGCCGGCCUGAGAGGGUGGCCGGUCACACUGGGGCUGAGACACCGCCCAGACUCCUACGGGAGGCAGCAGUGGGGAAUAUUGCACAAUGGGCGCAAGCCUGAUGCAGCGACGCCGCGUGAGGGAUGGAAGCCUUCGGGUUGUAAACCUCUUUCGCCAGUGAAGCAGGCCUGUCCCUUUUGUGGGUGGGUUGACGGUAGCUGGAUAAGAAGCGCCGGCUAACUACGUG